CCCGUCACAUCACGAAAGUGGGCCGUACUAGAAGCUGGUGUGCUAACCUCACGGAGGCAGCCAUCCAAGGUACAGCUCAUGAUUGGGGUG
rnacentral:rRNA from 1 species